AACUCAAAGGAAUUGACGGGGGCCCGCACAAGCAGCGGAGCGUGUGGUUUAAUUCGAGGCUACACGAAGAACCUUACCUGGGUUUGACAUCUGUGUGGUAGGGAACCGAAAGGGGACCGACCUUCGGGAGCACGGACAGGUGCUGCAUGGCUGUCGUCAGCUCGUGUCGUGAGAUGUUCGGUUAAGUCCGAAAACGAGCGCAACCCUCGGACGUAGUUACAGGUGUCUACGUCGACUGCCCGGGAGAACCGGGAGGAAGGUGGGGAUGACGUCAAGUCAGCAUGGCCUUGAUAUCCAGGGCUACACACACGCUACAAUGGUCGGUACAAUGGGCCGCAAGACCGCGAGGUGGAGCCAAUCCAGAAAGCCGAUCGUAGUUCGGAUUGCAGGCUGCAACUCGCCUGCAUGAAGCUGGAGUUGCUAGUAAACGCGCGUCAGCUAUAGUGCGUUGAAUACGUUCUCGGGCCUU
rnacentral:rRNA from 1 species